rnacentral:rRNA from 1 species
ACUACGGGAGGCAGCAGUGGGGAAUAUUGGGCAAUGGGCGCAAGCCUGACCCAGCAACGCCGCGUGAAGGAAGAAGGCUUUCGGGUUGUAAACUUCUUUUCUCAGGGACGAAGAAAGUGACGGUACCUGAGGAAUAAGCCACGGCUAACUACGUGCAAGCAGCAGCGGUAAUAGGUAGGGGGCACGCGUUAUCCGGAUUUAUGUGGUUGAAAGGGCGUGUAGGCGGGAGCGCAAGUCAGAGGUGAAAACACAGGGAUCAACCCUGAGCCUGCAUUUGAACCUGUGUUUCUUGAGUGCAGGAGAGGCAGUCGGAAUUCCGUGUGUAGCGGUGAAAUGCGUAGAUAUACGGAGGAACACCAGUGGCGAAGGCGGAUUGCUGGACAGUAACUGACGCUGAGGCGCGAAGGCGUGGGGAGCAAACAGGAUUAGAUACCCUUGUAGUC